rnacentral:tRNA from 1 species
AGCGCUAUAGUCUAGCGGUCAAGGAUACGGGACUCUGAAUCCCGUGACCCCGGUUCGAAUCCGGGUAGCGCUA